GAUGAACGCUGGCGGCGUGCCUAAUACAUGCAAGUCGAGCGAACGGACGAGAAGCUUGCUUCUCUGAUGUUAGCGGCGGACGGGUGAGUAACACGUGGAUAACCUACCUAUAAGACUGGGAUAACUUCGGGAAACCGGAGCUAAUACCGGAUAAUAUUUUGAACCGCAUGGUUCAAAAGUGAAAGACGGUCUUGCUGUCACUUAUAGAUGGAUCCGCGCUGCAUUAGCUAGUUGGUAAGGUAACGGCUUACCAAGGCAACGAUGCAUAGCCGACCUGAGAGGGUGAUCGGCCACACUGGAACUGAGACACGGUCCAGACUCCUACGGGAGGCAGCAGUAGGGAAUCUUCCGCAAUGGGCGAAAGCCUGACGGAGCAACGCCGCGUGAGUGAUGAAGGUCUUCGGAUCGUAAAACUCUGUUAUUAGGGAAGAACAUAUGUGUAAGUAACUGUGCACAUCUUGACGGUACCUAAUCAGAAAGCCACGGCUAACUACGUGCCAGCAGCCGCGGUAAUACGUAGGUGGCAAGCGUUAUCCGGAAUUAUUGGGCGUAAAGCGCGCGUAGGCGGUUUUUUAAGUCUGAUGUGAAAGCCCACGGCUCAACCGUGGAGGGUCAUUGGAAACUGGAAAACUUGAGUGCAGAAGAGGAAAGUGGAAUUCCAUGUGUAGCGGUGAAAUGCGCAGAGAUAUGGAGGAACACCAGUGGCGAAGGCGACUUUCUGGUCUGUAACUGACGCUGAUGUGCGAAAGCGUGGGGAUCAAACAGGAUUAGAUACCCUGGUAGUCCACGCCGUAAACGAUGAGUGCUAAGUGUUAGGGGGUUUCCGCCCCUUAGUGCUGCAGCUAACGCAUUAAGCACUCCGCCUGGGGAGUACGACCGCAAGGUUGAAACUCAAAGGAAUUGACGGGGACCCGCACAAGCGGUGGAGCAUGUGGUUUAAUUCGAAGCAACGCGAAGAACCUUACCAAAUCUUGACAUCCUUUGACAGCUCUAGAGAUAGAGCCUUCCCCUUCGGGGGACAAAGUGACAGGUGGUGCAUGGUUGUCGUCAGCUCGUGUCGUGAGAUGUUGGGUUAAGUCCCGCAACGAGCGCAACCCUUAAGCUUAGUUGCCAUCAUUAAGUUGGGCACUCUAAGUUGACUGCCGGUGACAAACCGGAGGGAGGUGGGGAUGACGUCAAAUCAUCAUGCCCCUUAUGAUUUGGGCUACACACGUGCUACAAUGGACAAUACAAAGGGCAGCGAAACCGCGAGGUCAAGCAAAUCCCAUAAAGUUGUUCUCAGUUCGGAUUGUAGUCUGCAACUCGACUACAUGAAGCUGGAAUCGCUAGUAAUCGUAGAUCAGCAUGCUACGGUGAAUACGUUCCCGGGUCU
rnacentral:rRNA from 1 species